UAUGUGAUCGUCUCUCGCAUAUCAAUAAGCGGAGGAAAAGAAACUAACAAGGAUUCCCCUAGUAACGGCGAGUGAAGCGGGAAGAGCUCAAAUUUGAAAUCUUAAAGGGUUUCCCUUUACGAAUUGUAGUUUAAAGAAGUGUUUUCUGUUGAGGUUUUGGUAAAAGUUCUUUGGAAUAGGACAUCAUAGAGGGUGAGAAUCCCGUAUUUGACCUUCACUUUCAACUUUGUGAUGCACUUUCAAAGAGUCGGAUUGUUUGGGAAUGCAGUCCAAAAUGGGUGGUAAAUUUCAUCUAAAGCUAAAUAUUGGCGAGAGACCGAUAGCGAACAAGGUACCGUGAGGGAAAGAUGAAAAGAACUUUGAAAAGAGAGUUAAACAGUACGUGAAAUUGUCAAAAGGGAAGCGUUUGACACCAGUGUUGUUUUUCUGAAAAUCAAUUAAAGAACUGUUUAUGCUAAGCUGUUUAGACUUUAUCAGCUAUCUGUUUAGUUUUGAGCUUUUCUUUAAUGCACUUUUCAGUUAACAAGUCAACAUCAAUUUCUUUUGCUGUAAAAAAGCUUGAGGAAGGUGGCUUGAGAUUCGUCUUAAGUGUUUAUAGCCUCUUGCCUAUGCAGUCGGAGAGAUUGAGGUCUGCAGCGUAGAUCCUUCGGGGCUAAAUGCAUUUGUGCUAAGUUAUAGCAUUUUAUAGACAACUUGUUGACUAUGAUUUGUCUUGUAGCUUACUCGCUUAUGUUAUUUUACCUACGCUUAGGAUGUUGAGUCGUAGAGCACGCA
rnacentral:rRNA from 1 species